rnacentral:rRNA from 1 species
UACAUGGGGUGCAAACGUUGCUCGGAAUUAUUGGGCGUAAAGCGCACGUAGGCGGUUCGUUAAGUCGGAAUGUGAAAGCCCUCGGCUCAACUGAGGAAGUGCGCCCGAAACUGCAGAGCUUGAGUGACCGGAGAGGGUGGCGGAAUUCCCCAAAGUAGAGGUGAAAUUCGUAGAUAUGGGGAGGAACACCGGUGGCGAAGGCGGCCACCUGGGACGGU